CCGGCCUCGGCCAGGCGGGCCGCCUGCGCCUGCGCCGGCGACCAGCGCACGUCGCGAAAGGUCUCGAUGCUGUCGUCGCCGUCUGGCAUUGUUGGCGUGCGGGUAGGCCCCUUCUCUUUUUCUCUUUUUUUCUCUCUCUCUCUCUCUCUCUCUCCUUAGUCGCCCUCUUUCAAACCUUCUUUUUUUGGAGCAGAGGCUUGAACGGCGGGUCCGAGUCUUGUGGGUCGCGGGGCGGUGUGGUGCGGUUGUCGGUUGGAGCGGUCGGGUGCGCAGUGAUGGGCGACAACAACAGAGCGCACGAUGUUUCGAUACGCGCACGCCUCGACGACAAGAGACAGGGGGAAAGAAAAGAAAACGCAAGACCUCGGUCCCGCUCAUAUAGGCCCGACGCGGUGCUCUCGCCUCUUUCCUGGCCGCGCUCGCGCGUUGCGACCUGCGCCGCGCCUGCCAAGGGCUCGCCUUGUGCUUUCCCCGCUUUGCCGGUGCUGUCUCUCUUUUUUUCUUUUCAAUCAUGAAAAAAAUAACAGGUUCUUAUUGGUUGC
rnacentral:lncRNA from 1 species